rnacentral:rRNA from 1 species
UGUCCAGUUAAUCCGUAAUUUAAUGUGCUUAAUCGAGUUAAGUUAAGGAGUUUAAGUGGUCAAUCCUCGUGCGUUCGACACUCGACUUCCUUACAAAUACUAUAACUUGACCCCGUAUACUUGUGGGUAAGAGAAAUUCACUUAACCUUAGACUAAUCAAUAGUCAAAAGAUUGAGGGAAAAGAUCUCUUGAACAGGCAGCAGUGGGGAAUCUUUGACAAUGGGUGAAAGCCCGAUCCAACAAUAUCGCGUGUGAAGAAGGGCAAUGCCUGUUGUAAAUAUCUUUCAUCGAGUGCGUGAUCAUGACAGGACUAGAGGAAGAAACCCUGGUUAACUCCGUGUCAGCAGCCACGGUAAGACUGGGGUAGGGGGCCAAGUGUGCUUGAUAAUGACUGGGCGUAAAGGGCACGUAGGCAAUGAAUUGAGUUGAAAGUGAACAACGCCAAAUAGUGGUGCAAUGCUCUCAAAACCAAUUCACUUGAGUGCGACAGAUGAGAGUGGAAUUUUUUUUGAAGGGUGAAAUCCGAAGAUCUACAAAGGAAGGCUAAAAGCGAAGGCAGCUCUCUGGGUCCCUACCGACAUUAGAGUGCGAAAUCAUGAGGGAUUUAACGGGAUUAGAUACUCUGGUAGUCCAUUCCAUAAACGAUUAGUGUUUGCCCUUGGUCUAUGCAGAUCAAGGGCCCAGCUAACGCAUGAAACACUCCACUUGGGGAGUACAAUCGCAAGACUGAAACUCAAAAUAGUUAAUGGGGGCCUGCACAAGCGUUAAAGCAUGUGUUUUAAUUCGAUAAUGUGCAAAACCUUACCAGCCCUUAACAUAUGAACAAUAAAACUUGUCUUUAACAUGAUGAUAUUACUUUCAUACAGGUGUUGCAUGGCUGUCGCCAGCUCAUGUCAUGAGAUGUUUGGUUCUAGUCCUAUAAUGAGCAAAACCCUCGUUUUGUAUUGUUGAGACAUACACCUAAGGAGAAAAAAUUUGCAACCGAAGUUAGACGAGCUGCCGAGUGACAUGCCAGCGUUAUUAAUUGAAAGCCAGGACGUAGCUAUGUUAUUAGUAAGAAGGAAGUCGACGCCUUUCUCGCGUGUUUAGUAAAGUUGCCUAAGUGUCGAUGACAUGCAGAGAAAGACUCAGCAUUCAGGAGAGCUUGUGGUACAUAGUGAGUUUACACUCUGAAACAAACAAAAAGGUGUGUGUUGCACUCACAAGGGACUGCCAGUGAUAUACUGGAGGAAGGUGGGGAUGACGUCAAGUCUGCAUGGCCAUUAUGGGUUGGGCCAUACACGUGCUACAAUGGCAAUUACAAUGGGAAGCAAGGCUAUAAGGUGGAGGGAAUCCAUAAAGAUUGCCUCAGUUCAGAUUGUUCUCUGCAACUCGGGAACAUGAAGUUGGAAUCGCUAGAAAUCGCGGAUCAGCAUGCCGCGAUGAAUAUGUACCCGACCCCUAUACACACCGCCCGUCAUACUCUGUGAAUUGCUUUCGCCCUAAGCAUCGGACGAAUGAUCACCCAUAACUUCUGUGUAACACUAGUGACAUAAAGGCUUUUGGUGGUCUUGUUGGCAUAUACCACAGUGAGGUCUUCGACUGGGAUGAAGUCGUAACAAGGUAUCUGUAGGGGAACCUGUGGCUG